GGAACAGGCUAAAAUAUGCAAAAAUCGGACCAGGAUUUGUUCAACCCUGUUGUUGUCGGCAUCGGAUCUAUUAAUAAUUGGAGAUACCAACGGUUGCCAAACUAAGCUUGAUGCUGCCAUAGAAUGUUACCAGGGCCUAACAGGAUGUGGCAAUUUCUCAUCACUAAUGGGAAACUACAAAACCACGUGCAUCCUACCACAAGGCCCAGUGUGCCCCAACUUUACCAACUGCAUAAAUAUGCUCAAACCCACAACAACAAGUAGCCAGAGUUCGACAGCGAUUCAAAGACUACAACGAACGUGCAGCGUGGUGGAACAGUUCAUGGACUGUUCUCAUAAAACAUCCAGGGAGUGUGGAGUUGUGUUCAAAACUACAUACGAUUUCGCUGCUUUGAAAGAAAAUCUGAAAUCAGGUUGCAUAC